UAAUACGGAGGGUGCGAGCGUUGUCCGGAAUCACUGGGCGUAAAGGGCGCGUAGGCGGCCUGGUAAGUAGGGGGUGAAAUCCUGCGGCUUAACCGCAGGGCUGCCUUCUAAACUGUCAGGCUCGAGCACGGUAGAGGCAGAUGGAAUUCCCGGUGUAGCGGUGGAAUGCGUAGAGAUCGGGAAGAACAUCAGUGGCGAAGGCGGUCUGCUGGGCCGUUGCUGACGCUGAGGCGCGACAGCGUGGGGAGCAAACAGGA
rnacentral:rRNA from 1 species